rnacentral:rRNA from 1 species
AUUGAACGCUGGCGGCAUGCUUUACACAUGCAAGUCGAACGGUAACAGGCCGCAAGGUGCUGACGAGUGGCGAACGGGUGAGUAAUGCGUCGGAACGUGCCCAGUCGUGGGGGAUAACUACUCGAAAGAGUAGCUAAUACCGCAUACGAUCUAUGGAUGAAAGCGGGGGACCGUAAGGCCUCGCGCGAUUGGAGCGGCCGAUGUCAGAUUAGGUAGUUGGUGGGGUAAAGGCUCACCAAGCCAACGAUCUGUAGCUGGUCUGAGAGGACGACCAGCCACACUGUGACUGGGACACGGCCCAGACGCCUACGGGAGGCAGCAGUGGGGAAUUUUGGACAAUGGGCGCAAGCCUGAUCCAGCAAUGCCGCGUGCAGGAAGAAGGCCUUCGGGUUGUAAACUGCUUUUGUACGGAACGAAACGGCUCUGGUUAAUACCCGGGGCUAAUGACGGUACCGUAAGAAUAAGCACCGGCUAACUACGUG